rnacentral:rRNA from 1 species
UACGAAGGGGACUAGCGUUGUUCGGAAUCACUGGGCGUAAAGGGCGCGUAGGCGGCUUGACAAGCGUGCGGUGAAAGCUCGGGGCUCAACCCCGAGUCGGCCGUGCGAACUGUCAGGCUUGAGCACAGUAGAGGCAGAUGGAAUUCCGGGUGUAGCGGUGGAAUGCGUAGAUAUUCGCAAGAACACCAGUGGCGAAGGCGGCUCACUGGCCCGAUACUGACGCUGAGGCACGAAAGCGUGGGGAGCAAACAGG